CUGGCGUUAUUCUGAUUGAUUCUGGAAGCUCAAGAUAUCCACCCAGUGGCCAUGCUGACUGGAUAAGUGAAUGUUGUAGUCCAACCCCAUCCCCAAACUCAUAUGAGCCGUGAUGGCGCAAUUGGUUAAACCUUUGUAUCAAUUGUUCUGCUGACCUGAAGGUUGCCGACCCGAAUCUGCCAGAUGAGAUGCCUUUAAAUGUGGAUGUAAUGAGGCUGUUGAUUAGUGCCAAGGGACCUAUGGAAGGAUCACAGCUAUUAACUGGAGCGGAAACUUUGAACAGCGGUAGAAACCGGACUGGUAUGGAGUGGCCUUAGAACCACAAGAGCUGAUGAAGUUUUUCUGGAAAGAUGUGGAUAGUGGACUCUAUGGAUGCAGAAUCUAUCGAUAUGGAAAGCUGGUUUGUAAAUUGCUAAAGCACUGCCAGAUGAUGAACAUCCAGCUUCUGAAGACUUCGAAAGGAGAAUCCACUCCCACCCUGAUACGGUCUGUCGCACUGUUUAAUGGCUUUACAGUCAGCAAAUUCUUCCUAUUAUUUUAAAAUUUAGAGGAAUCCCUUUUAUUGCUUAAUCCAUUGUUCCGUGUCCUAGUCUCUAGAGCAGCAGAAAACAAGUGUGAACCAUCUUCUGCAUAAAAUCCCUCCAGGUAUUUAAACAUGACUAUCUUGUUACCUCUUAACAUUCUCUUCUCCCAGCUCUCGAAGCUCCUUCUCAUAGGACAUGGUUUCCAGACUAUUUACCAUUUUGGCUGCCCUCCUCGGAACCCAUUCCAGCCUGCAAUAAAUUAAUUUUUUGCCAGAGAUUGACCACAGAGUUGCACUGGAAGACCUAGACUGCCAAAUAAUUCAGUUUGAUAGAGAGAACAUAUGAAUCAAAUCCAUGAAUAAUCAAAUCCACAAAAGUGAAAUCUGCAGAUGUGGGAGUCAAUUGUACUUCAAAUAUGCUAUUUCCAAAAGCCACGUUUUACUAAAUGUACAUCUUGGUUGUAUAGUGUCAACAUAUGCAGAGAAAUUGAUAAUGAAUCCUUGUAUUUGAAAUUUAGAGAAGGGUGUUUAGAAGUCCCUGCCAUAGAGCUCUAGAAUCUCACCAGCCUGCAAACCCCAGGAUUAUGCAGGAUGCAACUAUGAUGGUUAAGCUGGAAUUAUAGCGCUAUAAGUAUAUAAUGUGAAAGGGCUCUUUAGUGCAAUACUCUUUUCACAGCAGUGACCAAGUAGGGUAGGUCACUCUGCAAGUAAGGAGCUAACCUAUUUUGCUAAUCAGUGUUUGGGUUUAUUUGGCCUGUAGGUCAUGUUUUCCUUCCCUGUCUACCUCACCUUGCUGCAAGUUUCCUAUAUUUGCAAUUAAAUUCUCUCUCUUUUUUUGUCUCAACCAUUUUUGCAAGGAGACAGGGAUAAGUACAACCACCUAUUGUGAAAGAAAUAUAUAUAUCUGAGGGUGGCAAGAAAGGGGAGCCCCUGCCAUAUCUUGUUAGCAAAGCUGGCUUUUAUUAGGAGAGGCAGGUUGUGAAUGAGCCCUGUGUUCCCCGGGUCUGGAAUCUGGAGGAUGAACAAAGUUUAUAUAUUCUGUGAUGAAAUCAUAGCUAGCAAGAGCCCAUGAGCAGAACAGUUCAAAGGCUUGGCUUCAAGGAGGCCAGCCAACAUAUGGAAAAGCUUUGCAGAUGGAGGGAAGUGAUUGCCGAAAAGGGACAAAUGGUUCUUUCACUGAGAGAGCCUUGACUUUGAAAUUAGAAAUGCACAGCUCAGAGACAGUACCCUUCAACUCAAUGUAAAACGGUGCCAAAGGUCUGGCUAGUAGGCUUGCUCAAAUAAUUCGAUUUCCCCGUUACCCGUUAUUAAUUCGUUACUUUCGUUUGUUUUGAAGCAAUAUACGGCCUUGAUUGUCCACACGUCUGGAUAUCGCGGUUUCGAACCGCGAGAGGCCGUUUUUUGUUAUGUCGUCGUUUUUUUCGUUAGGAAAAAAAGCUUUUGCAAAUCACCCAAACUCCCACCAUUCCUAACAGCCUCAGGCCCUUUCCUUUUGCCCCUCAGCAAAAGGGGCGUCACGGGCUCAGCCAAUGGGAGGGGGCGAGGGGGAAGGAGGCCGAGGAGGAGGAGGAAGACGGAGGGGGGAAAUGGCCGCCGCCGCCGCCUCGCUUCAGCUCAGGCCUGGUGUCUCUCUGUGAGGCGGGAAGGCGGCGGAUGGAGCCGGGAAUGGAGAGACCGAGAGAGACAGAGACACGCAGAGAUGGAGGCUGGCGCGGGGCCCGGCGGUGAGGAGGAAGAGGCCCGGGAUGCGAGGGGGUGUGGGCCAGGCCCGUCCUCGGCUGCUCCCGGGGAGGGAGGGAGGGAGGACUACGACUCCCAGGGGCCCAGAUUCGCACCCUCCCUCCCCCCAAUACAGGUCUCCAUACGACGCUACAUGAACUUGAAUGGAUACUGUGGUUGUGUUGUCGAAAGCUUUCAUGGCCGGGAUCACACUGUUGUGGUAUGUAUGUGGCCAUGUGCCAGAAGCAUUCUCUCCUGACGUUUCACCCACAUCUGUGGCAGACAUACUCAGAGGUUUUGACGUCUGUGCGAAGCUAGGCAAGUGGGGUUUAUAUCUGUGGAAGGUCCAGGGUGGGAGAAAGAACUCUUGUCUGUGGGAGGCAAGUGUGAAUGUUGCAAUUGGUCACCUUGAUUAGCAUUGAAUAGCCUUGCAGCUUCAAAGCCUGGCUGCUUCCUACCUGGGGGAAUCCUUUGUUGGGAGGUAUUAGCUGGCCCUGAUUGUUUCCUGUCUGGAAUUCCCAUUUUCUGGGUGUUGUUCUUUUACUGUCCUGAUUUUAGCUUUUCUGUAGCUAAAAUGCAUAUAAAAUUGAUUCUAUAGGGAGGAUAAAUGAUUGGAUUUCAACUCCUACAGCUUAGCUUUCUCUGCCAAUAAUGGUACCAUACCAAACCAAAGAUUCUGUAGCAGUGAGCCAUCUUGGAUAUUGUAAGGGAUUUAUUAUUAUUAUUAUUAUUAUUAUUAUUAUUAUUAUUAUUAUUAGACCUUGCUCCCAGGAAGGUGCCUUCGCUGUGGCUCCCAACUUAUCUAUCUCUACCUUUCCACAUAUUCUCCACAUUGUGUGUAUGUGUAUGUAUAUUAUAUAUACAUGAGCCCCGAUGGCGAAGUGUGUUAAAGCACUGAGCUGCUGAACUUGCAGACCGAAAGGUCCCAGGUUCAAAUCCCGGGAGCAGAGUGAGUGCCCGCUGUUAGCUCCAGCUUCUGCCAACCUAGCAGCUUGAAAACAUGCCAAUGUGAGUAGAUCAAUAGGUACCGCUCUGGCGGGAAUGUAAUGGCACUCCAUGUAGUCAUGCCGGCCACAUGACCUUGGAGGUGUCUAUGGACAACACUGGCUCUUGGGCUUAGAAAUGGAGAUGAGCACCAACCCCCAGAGUCAGACAUGACUGAACUUAACGUCAAGGGAUACCUUUACCUUUACCUAUAUAUACACACACACACACAUGCAGGGACUAUAUAUAUAUAUAUAUAUAUAUAUAUAUAUAUAUAUAUAUAUACACACACACAGUAUAUAUCACACACACACCAAUUUAACAAAGUUUCAGCCACAAAAACAAAGUUUCUGAAGUAGAACAAUGACUUUCACAGUAAAGACAACCCAAUUUAACAGGAAAUAAGACUUUCAAACCAGGAACAGAUUUCUGCAAUUAUUAAAAAAUGGUUUAUUAUAAAAGCUAUGAAAAUUCGCCAAAAAUCAGAGGAUAAGGGAAACGUUCCAAAUUUUGGUGAGCUAUCAGUGUUAAAUGUGUUCUACCACUGUACCAAGUUUGAAGAAGAUCACUCAAAAAAUGAGGGUGGGAGAAUCCUGUAAAAUCUCCCCUCGUGCUGUUUUUUUUGGCCACUGCGCAUGCGCGUCCGCCAUUAACGAAUUAAUUUCGAAAAUAACGAAUUUUCGUUAAUUUCAAAUUUUUUGGGGGGCAAAAUUCGGAAAUGACAUCAGAAACGAAACGCUGGCGCCCCCAGCUUUUGAAACGAGUUUAGAAUCAAUUUUUUCAUGGAUCGCUCAAGCCUACUGGCUAGCUUUGCCCUCCAUACAUGCAUAUUAUCUACAUCUAAAUUAUCUGGUUUAACCCGUUUUCAGGUGAAAACUUUCACAGAAUCAUAGAGCUGGAAGAGACCACAAGGACCAUCCAGUCCAACCCACUGCCGUGCAGGAAUACACAAUCAAAACACUCCAGGCAGAUGGUUAUCCAGCAUCCAAAGAAGGACAUUCCACCAACUCCAAGAAAGUGAAUUCCACUGUCAAGCAGUUCUUACUGUCAAUAGGCUCUUCCUAAUGUUUAGAUGGAAUUUCUUAUUAUUCGGUUUGAAUUCAUUGCUCCAUGUACUAAUCCCUGGAGCAGCAGAAAACAAACUGGCUUCGUCUUCAACAUGACAUCAUUUCAAAUAUUUAAACAUGGAUAUCAUUUCACCUUAAAUAUUUAAACAUGGGGCCGGGCUGUGGCGCAGGCUGUUGAGCAACUGCAAUAAAUCACUCUGACCAUGAGGUCAUGAGUUCGAGGCCAGCCCGUGGUGGGGUGAGCACCCGUCAAUUAAAAAUAAAAAAUAGCCCCUGCUCGUUGUUGACCUAGCAACCCAAAAGAUAGUUGCAUCUAUCAAGUAGGAAAUAAGGUACCACUUAUAAAAGUGGGGAGGCAAGUUUAACUAAUUUACGACUUGGAAUGAGGAAGUGCCAUCAGAGUGGAUGAUGAAGCAGCUGCUCCCCCCUGUGGCCAGAAUUGAACAUCCCCUCAGGAGAAGGUUAAAUUGCCUCUGUCUCGGUCUCUGUUUGAUGUGUUUAUGGGCAUUGAAUGUUUGCCCUAUAUGUGUAUAAUGUGAUCCGCCCUGAGUCCCCUUCAGGGUGAGAAGGGCGGAAUAUAAAUACUGUAAAUAAAUAAAUAAAUAAAUAAAAUAUCAUUUCUCCAGCAUAAACAUACCAAAAUCCCUAAGCCACUUGUCAUAUAACAUAGUUUCCUGACAUUAGAUUAAAAAAAACUCUCAUUGGGACAUGUUCAAGAUUGUCCAUACACUUCUUGAAUUGCAAUGCCUAGAACUGGACACUGCAAUAUUCCAGGUGAAGUCAGACCAAAGCAGAAUAGAGUCAUACCAUAACUUUACCCACUGAAAUACUAUAUUCCUAUUGAUGCAUCAUAGAAUCAGAUUGGCUUUUUAGCUGCUGCAUCUCAUUGUUGACUCUUAUUCAGCUUGUUGUCUACUAGGUAUCUCUUCACAUGGCCCUUUUGGACUGUGCCAUUUCGUGGAGCCCCGCACAGCCUCCAUCCUUCUCCCAUCAUACUGUUGGCACCCUGUUUUCGUCCCCAUCUGAUGGGAUAAAGGGUGGCAACGUGUGUUGCCCCACUACCCUUUCCCUGAUCAUAGGGGAAAAGGGGAGUGAAGUGUGAGUAGCUCUGUUGGAGCUACUCAAAACACACUUUCCUCCCCACGGUAGUGGAGGAAAUGCCUUCCGGCACUUCCCUUCCACUUUGGGAGGAAUGUGGGCAGGGUCUGCCAUUCAUCAUCUGAUGGCACUCGGCAGGCCCUGACCAAGCUGCAAAUAAAAGCGGCAAAACGGGGCUAUUUUUCCCUGUGUGAAGAGGUGCUAAGAUUCCUGGAUUCUUUUCACUGGUAUUGUUGUCAAGCCAGGUGUCACCCAUCCUAUAUCUGUGCUUUUCUUUCCUGCCUAAGUAUAGUUCCUUACAUUACUUCUUGUUGAAGUUCAUUUUUUGUAAGUUUUGGCCCAGCUCAGUAAACUUCCUAAAUCAGACGUUGACCAGUGAAUCAACACAUAAGUAAAUUUCAUUGGUGUCAGGCUUAGCACCGCAGGGUAAACCACUAAGCUGCAGAAAAUCCUGCUGAUCAAAAGGUUGGAAAUUCAAGCUCAGGUCAGGGUGAGCACCCACCAUCAGCCCCAGCUCCCUGCCCACCUAGCAGAUCGAAAACAGAAAUGAGAGUAGAUAAAUGGGUACCGGGGAAGUAAUAAAAGGGGCCCAUAAGGACAUUCCCGCAAUUCGAUCAGAAGGACGUCUAUGAAUGGCAAAGCUCCUCGGCAUGGAAGAUGGAGUGACAGCAUCCUCCAUGGCUGGAGUCGAGCACAGCCUCCAGGUGCCGGAAGAGGAAAAGAUAGGGAAAGCCUUUACCUCUGUUUAUUUAUUGUCUGUCCUUGUUAAUUGUAUAACAACAUUGAAUGUUUGCUGUAUAUAUGUUCUGUAAUCCAUCCUGAUUCCCCUAUGUGAGAGAGUGGAAUAUAAAGAAGGUAUAUUAUUGUUGUUGUUGUUGUUGUUGUUGUUGUUGUUGUUAUUAUUAUUAUUAUUAUUAUUAUUAUUAUUAUUAUUAUUAUUAUUAUAUGUUCUAGUUGGCAAUAAAAUUCCUGUUACAACCUAUUGUUCCAA